rnacentral:rRNA from 1 species
CCUACGGGAGGCAGCAGUGAGGAAUAUUGGUCAAUGGACGAGAGUCUGAACCAGCCAAGUAGCGUGAAGGAUGACUGCCCUAGGGGUUGUAAACUUCUUUUAUAUGGGAAUAAAACAGGGUAUGCAUACCCUCUUGUAUGUACCAUAUGAAUAAGGAUCGGCUAACUCCGUGCCAGCAGCCGCGGUAAUACGGAGGAUCCGAGCGUUAUCCGGAUUUAUUGGGGGUAAAGGGAGCGUAGGUGGAGUGUUAAGUCAGUUGUGAAAUGUGCGGGCUCAACCCGGGCAGUGCAGUGCGAACUGGCGUGCUUGAGUGCGCGGAAAGCAGGCGGAAUUCGUAGUGUAGCGGUGAAAUGCUUAGAUAUGACGAAGAACCCCGAUGGCGAAGGCAGCUUGCUGGAGAGGAACUGACGCUGAGGCUCGAAAGCGCGGGUAUCGAACAGGAUUAGAUACCCGGGUAGUC